rnacentral:rRNA from 1 species
GGGUUGUGAGGUUAAGCGACUAAGCGUACACGGUGGAUGCCCUGGCAGUCAGAGGCGAUGAAGGACGUGCUAAUCUGCGAAAAGCGUCGGUAAGGUGAUAUGAACCGUUAUAGCCGGCGAUGUCCGAAUGGGGAAACCCAGUGUGAUUCGUCACACUAUCGUUAACUGAAUACAUAGGUUAACGAGGCGAACCGGGGGAACUGAAACAUCUAAGUACCCCGAGGAAAAGAAAUCAACCGAGAUUCCCCCAGUAGCGGCGAGCGAACGGGGAGCAGCCCAGAGUCUGAAUCAGCUUGUGUGUUAGUGGAACGGUCUGGAAAGUCCGACGGUACAGGGUGAUAGUCCCGUACACCAAAAUGCACAGGCUGUGAACUCGAAGAGUAGGGCGGGACACGUGGUAUCCUGUCUGAAUAUGGGGGGACCAUCCUCCAAGGCUAAAUACUCCUGACUGACCGAUAGUGAACCAGUACCGUGAGGGAAAGGCGAAAAGAACCCCGGCGAGGGGAGUGAAAAAGAACCUGAAACCGUGUACGUACAAGCAGUGGGAGCACCUUCGGGUGUGACUGCGUACCUUUUGUAUAAUGGGUCAGCGACUUAUAUUCUGUAGCAAGGUUAACCGUAUAGGGGAGCCGCAGGGAAACCGAGUCUUAACUGGGCGUUAAGUUGCAGGGUAUAGACCCGAAACCCGGUGAUCUAGCCAUGGGCAGGUUGAAGGUUGGGUAACACUAACUGGAGGACCGAACCGACUAAUGUUGAAAAAUUAGCGGAUGACUUGUGGCUGGGGGUGAAAGGCCAAUCAAACCGGGAGAUAGCUGGUUCUCCCCGAAAGCUAUUUAGGUAGCGCCUCGUGAA